UACGUAGGUGGCAAGCGUUGUCCGGAAUUACUGGGCGUAAAGCGCGCGCAGGCGGCUCUUUAAGUCUGACGGUGGAAUGCCGGGGCUCAACCCCGUGCCCGCCGCGGAUACUGGAGGGCUGGAGACACGUAGAGGCAAGCGGAAUUCCGGGUGUAGCGGUGGAAUGCGUAGAGAUCCGGAAGAACACCGGAGGCGAAGGCGGCUUGCUGGGCGUAGUCUGACGCUGAGGCGCGAAAGCGUGGGGAGCGAACAGG
rnacentral:rRNA from 1 species